AGGCCAUGGAGGGAAGAACUCUCUCUCAAGUUCUUUCUCUCACUUGAUCUUCAAACCACCAUAACUUUUGAUCUAGAGCUCCGAUUGCCGCUCCGUUUGCGGCCACGCGUUCACCGCGGAGAGCUCUACAAAACCCAUACAAUCAAUCUUGAGGACCCAACUCUCUUGAAGGAGAAGGUUAAUCUUGUCUCCUUGGACCUUGGGUGUGGUUGUGUAUAUGUGAAUAUUGGAGCUUGAUUUGGUGAUUUUGAAAAGCUUGGAAAGGGUUUGGUGGUGAAAAAUCUGUUCUUGGAGGUGUUGAGGCCUUGAGAGCUUGUGGAUAAGUGAUUUGGAAGUGCUCUGGUGGAGCUUGGGAAAAUCGGCUAAGAUGCAGGACGUACGGUUUCCCGCUGAGGCACGCUGGAGACUUCUAGAUUUGCGAAGAUUCCUUGUUCUUGGGGUUUAUGUUUUGGUUCAUAUGUUUUGCUUAGAUACUUUUAUCUCCAUUAAAUAAUACAAACUGUGAUGACUCCUCUUAUGGGAGAUUUUGGAGAAUAGGUUUUAUGUAUUUGUGUCCCUUUGGGUUUCCUUUGGGGUUUUCCUUAUUUCUAUCAUAUGUAUAUAUUGCUAUGCUCGGACCGGUUAUCUUCGCAGUCGGAUCUUGAGUCUUGAUA